GGGUCGAACGCACCUCCGGUGCAUCGGUUGUACUGCCAAGUGCAUAGCCGGGUAGCCGAGUGCGGAUGUGAUAAUCGCUGACAGCAUCUAAGCGUGAAGCACACCUCAAGAUGAGAUAUCCCUUGCAUAAGCAAUAAGGUCACAGGUAGACUACCUGUUUGAUAGGUCGCGGGUGGAAGCGCAGUAAUGCGUGCAGCUGAGCGAUACUAAUCGACCGAGUGCUUGAACGCU
rnacentral:rRNA from 1 species